GGGGUCUUUUAAAUGGAGCCUCGUAUGAACGGCGUAACCUUCUUCAACUGUCUCCCCUCCCACCCCUCUAAAUUCUUUUCUGAGUGAAGAAACCCAGAUAAGCCAGAAAGACGAGAAGACCCUGUCGAGCUUUAACCAUUAGGUGAACUUAAACCCCUUUUAGACAUCACCCAAAGGUUUUGGUUGGGGCAACCAUGGAGAAAAUAAACCCUCCAGAGCAAAUAGAAGAAAGUAAUUCACUAUUACUCCUAACUGAGAACCAGGAACUGGUAUUCAGAAAAAGUUACCGCAGGGGUAACAGCGUAAUCCCCUCUAAGAGUCC
rnacentral:rRNA from 1 species